AACGAACGCUGGCGGCAUGCCUAACACAUGCAAGUCGAACGAGACCCCUGACUUCGGUUGGCGGGUCUAGUGGCGCACGGGUGCGUAACGCGUGGGAAUCUGCCCUUGGGUUCGGAAUAACUCAGAGAAAUUUGAGCUAAUACCGGAUGAUGACGAAAGUCCAAAGAUUUAUCGCCCAGGGAUGAGCCCGCGUAAGAUUAGCUUGUUGGUGGGGUAAUGGCCUACCAAGGCGACGAUCUUUAGCUGGUCUGAGAGGAUGAUCAGCCACACUGGGACUGAGACACGGCCCAGACUCCUACGGGAGGCAGCAGUGGGGAAUAUUGGACAAUGGGCGCAAGCCUGAUCCAGCAAUGCCGCGUGAGUGAUGAAGGCCUUAGGGUUGUAAAGCUCUUUUACCAGGGAUGAUAAUGACAGUACCUGGAGAAUAAGCUCCGGCUAACUCCGUGCCAGCAGCCGCGG
rnacentral:rRNA from 1 species